rnacentral:sRNA from 1 species
GUCCGUAUCAGAGUCGUCCCAAAGAAAC